UACAGAGGGGGCAAGCGUUAUUCGGAAUUAUUGGGCGUAAAGGGCGCGUAGGCGGCUUGGCAAGUGGAUGGUGAAAUCCCUCGGCUUAACCGAGGAACUGCCGUCCAAACUGCUUCGCUUGAGACCGGGAGAGGUGAGUGGAAUUCCCCAGUGUAGCGGUGAAAUGCGUAGAUAUUGGGAGGAACACCAGUGGCGAAGGCGGCUCACUGGACCGGUACUGACGCUGAUGCGCGAAAGCGUGGGGAGCAAACGGG
rnacentral:rRNA from 1 species